rnacentral:rRNA from 1 species
UCCACGCCGUAAACGAUGUCAACUAGCCGUUGGGCCUAUAUACAGGUUUAGUGGCGGAGCUAACGUAUUAAGUUGACCGCCUGGGGAGUACGGCCGCAAGGUUAAAACUCAAAUGAAUUGACGGGGGCCCGCACAAGCGGUGGAGCAUGUGGUUUAAUUCGAUGCAACGCGAAGAACCUUACCUACCCUUGACAUCCAGAGAAUCUGUUAGAGAUAGUAGAGUGCCUUGGGAA